CCCUUAGACGUUCUGGGCCGCACGCGCGCUACACUGACCAGUGCAACAAGCAUCCGUCCUUGGCCGACAGGCCCGGGCAAUCUUUGAACGCUGGUCGUGAUGGGGAUAGACUUUUGCAAUUUUUGGUCUUCAACGAGGAAUUCCUAGUAAACGCAAGUCAUCAACUUGCAUUGAUUACGUCCCUGCCCUUUGUACACACCGCCGUCGCACCUACCGAUUGAAUGGUCCGGUGAAGCCUCCGGAUUGGCGCGCACCUCGGUGCCGCCGAGAAGUUGGCUAAACCUUACCAUUUAGAGGAAGGUGAAGUCGUAACA
rnacentral:rRNA from 1 species